UUAAGAAAAAAAAGUUAUCACCGUUUCGAGUUCACACAAAUAUUCAUAGGGCACUGAAAAAGAGUUGGCUGGUUCGAUAUGUAUGUGGAUGUAUGCUUAAAGCGUCCUUCAGUUGAAUUUCCAGGAUCCGAUCAUCCAAAUAUCUGUUCUUGAUACCAAGCCAUAAUUCAGUGCACCCUGUUUUGAAUGAACAUCGAGUGGGCAAAAAAAGAAAUUUGUCCGUAUUUAUCGGAGAUAAGCUAUGCAGCUAAGCCGAACGGGAAUGCCGAUUUUUUUAUUUCAAAAAAGUGGACAAAAACAUGCUUUUCGCAAGAAUUAAAGACGCUUCGGGAUCAGAUAUUGCGCAUUUUGAGGCAUCUGAGAACAGGUGGUGCUAGUCAACCAGCGACGGCUGGAUUUUGUGGCAGAAAAUGAUGAGGACCUUUUUUUAGGACGAAAGAGGAUCAGAUAUGGUUUUGUUGCGCAGCAAGUAGAAGCAGCCUUUUUGUCGAGAAAGUUCGCAUAUUAGGUAGGUACUUUGACGAGUCAGAUCAGGUGUAGUUUUCUUCUCUCUUGUACAGGUUUAUAGCCUGAUGAGGGUUGAUGCGGUCUUUGGUAUGCAGACACUAUUUCUAUAGGAUGGAGAAAGGACAGGUAAUAUAGAAACGAGAGGAUGACAUUAUUUUGGCACAUGUAGCGUGGCAUUAGCAUUAUACAUUUCUAGGAGGAUAACGUUUUGCACAUCUAUCCUGAUUCGUCCGCGAUAUUUUUUGUUUGAUUGAUCCAGUUGAUAAAAAAUUGCAUGCUUUCUGGUUUGGGAUUUGCGGUGGUCUUUUGACAAGCUUGAUAGUCAGUAGGUGGUGGCUCUGGGUAAGAUUCAGCACAAUCUGUAUGUGUUUGACAACUGGUUGGAUGCUCUAUAGAUUUUGGCGACAUCUGGGUGUACUUAGGAGGUGGUAAUUGAGCGAGAGUGGCGUGGUUGAUGGCUAAAGAGCGUUGCCAUCGCUUUUUUUUGGCAUAGCAUUUUUUCCUCCAUUUCCUUCUGAGAUUACCAUGGAGAUGGUUUGGAAAUGAAGGAGAAAACUCUUCCAUGUUUUGUGGAGAUAGGCAAGAUAUUGUGAGGAGGCGUUAUGGAAAUAGAUGAACGGAAGAAAAGAAAAAAAAGAAAAUGCGACAGGAUGAAGGCGAAACUGAUCUGAGGUGCGACGCAGAUUCAGAAGUGCGCAAAUUCUGAAAGGUCUGAUACGUAAAAAGAUGAAUAUUAUAAAGCACGUAUCUAGAGAGGAUGUCCAAAGGCUGUUUUUUAGAGAGCGGAAAUUCUGGGAAAGAGCUCAAACAAAAAGAGAUGAAUGAUCAGGAGGGACUCACGAGAAGAAAUGUAUGCUUAUUUAUACCGCAUGAAUUGAAUUUAAUUUAAAUAACUUAGAAGGUCUUAAAGUUUAGUUUUUGGGGAGGAAACAG